ACUCCUACGGGAGGCAGCAGUGGGGAAUAUUGCACAAUGGGCGCAAGCCUGAUGCAGCCAUGCCGCGUGUAUGAAGAAGGCCUUCGGGUUGUAAAGUACUUUCAGCAGUGAGGAAGGUGGAUAUGUUAAUAGCAUAUUCAUUUGACGUUAGCUGCAGAAGAAGCACCGGCUAACUCCGUGCCAGCAGCCGCGGUAAUACGGAGGGUGCGAGCGUUAAUCGGAAUUACUGGGCGUAAAGCGCAUGCAGGUGGUUUGUUAAGUCAGAUGUGAAAGCCCGGGGCUCAACCUCGGAAUUGCAUUUGAAACUGGCAAACUAGAGUACUGUAGAGGGGGGUAGAAUUUCAGGUGUAGCGGUGAAAUGCGUAGAGAUCUGAAGGAAUACCGGUGGCGAAGGCGGCCCCCUGGACAGAUACUGACACUCAGAUGCGAAAGCGUGGGGAGCAAACAGGAUUAGAUACCUGGUAGGCUCUGC
rnacentral:rRNA from 1 species